rnacentral:rRNA from 1 species
UACGUAGGGUGCGAGCGUUAAUCGGAAUUAUUGGGCGUAAAGGGCGCGUAGGCGGUUUGCUAAGUCAGUUGUGAAAGCCCGGGGCUCAACCCCGGAGGGUCGGCUGAUACUGGUGGACUAGAGUACGGAAGAGGUAGCUGGAAUUCCCGGUGUAGCGGUGAAAUGCGUAGAUAUCUGGAGGAACACCGGUGGCGAAGGCGACAUCCUGGACCGGCAUUGACGCUGAGGCGCGAAAGCCAGGGGAGCAAACGGG